GAUGAACGCUGGCGGCGUGCCUAAUACAUGCAAGUCGAGCGAACAGAUAAGGAGCUUGCUCCUUUGACGUUAGCGGCGGACGGGUGAGUAACACGUGGGUAACCUACCUAUAAGACUGGGAUAACUUCGGGAAACCGGAGCUAAUACCGGAUAACAUUUGGAACCGCAUGGUUCUAAAGUGAAAGAUGGUUUUGCUAUCACUUAUAGAUGGACCCGCGCCGUAUUAGCUAGUUGGUAAGGUAACGGCUUACCAAGGCGACGAUACGUAGCCGACCUGAGAGGGUGAUCGGCCACACUGGAACUGAGACACGGUCCAGACUCCUACGGGAGGCAGCAGUAGGGAAUCUUCCGCAAUGGGCGCAAGCCUGACGGAGCAACGCCGCGUGAGUGAUGAAGGGUUUCGGCUCGUAAAACUCUGUUAUUAGGGAAGAACAAAUGUGUAAGUAACUGUGCACGUCUUGACGGUACCUAAUCAGAAAGCCACGGCUAACCACGUG
rnacentral:rRNA from 1 species